UACGGAGGGUGCGAGCGUUGUCCGGAAUCAUUGGGCGUAAAGGGCGCGUAGGUGGCUUCUUAAGCGUGCGGUGAAAGCCUGGGGCUCAACCCCGGGUCGGCCGUGCGAACUGGGGGGCUGGAGCACUGUAGAGGCAGGCGGAAUUCCGGGUGUAGCGGUGGAAUGCGUAGAGAUCCGGAAGAACACCGGUGGCGAAGGCGGCCUGCUGGGCAGUUGCUGACACUGAGGCGCGACAGCGUGGGGAGCAAACGGG
rnacentral:rRNA from 1 species